GAAGGUGUAUCUAGAAAGACAAAUUAGAGCUUGAAAAAUAAAGCAUUUCAUUUACAUUGAAAAGUAUAUUGUGUAAUUCAAUUUAAUUUGAUAAUAAAAAUUUAUUAAUUUUUUUUGUUUAAAAAGUUAUUUAAUAAAAUUAAUUUUAAAUUAAGUUUUUUUUUGUAUAGUAUAUAGAUCAAAUAAUUUAUAUAAUAGUUAAUUAGUAUUGUAAAAGAAUAUUGAAAUAUAUGAAAAAAUUUUAAAUUAAAAGUAAAUUUUAUAUAUUGUACCUUGUGUAUCAGGGUUUAUUAAUUAAAAAUUAAAAAUUUAAUUUUUCUCGAAUUUAAGAGGGUUAAUUUAUUAUUUAAUUUUUUGUUUCAUAAAAAUUUAAAAUAAUAAAUUAGAAAUGAAAUGUUAUUCGUUCUUUAAUAUAUCUAGUUUUUUAAGAAAUAAAUUAAAUUUAGAUUAUUAAUAAAUAAUUAUUUAUUUAAAUAAUGAAUUAUUAUUAAUAAUUAAUAUUUUAAGGGAUAAGCUUUAAGGUAAGUUUUAUAAUGAUUUUUUAAUUUAAAAAUUAUAGGUUUAGAAAUAGUCAUUAAUUAUAAAAAUGUUAUAAUUUAUUUUAAAUUAAAAAUAAUUUUUAUUGAUUUAAAUUUUUAUUAAAAUAAUUUUUAAAAUUAUAUAAGAAUUAAAAUAAUGAUAAAAUUAGUAUAUUUAAUUGUUUAAAAUAAAUAAAUUAAAAGGUUAAAUUAAGGAAUUUGGCAAAUAAAUACUCGCCUGUUUAACAAAAACAUGUCUUUUUGAAUAUAAUUUAAAGUCUAAUCUGCCCACUGAAAAAUUUUAAAGGGCCGCGGUAUU
rnacentral:rRNA from 1 species